rnacentral:rRNA from 1 species
UACGUAGGGUGCGAGCGUUGUCCGGAAUUAUUGGGCGUAAAGAGCUUGUAGGCGGUUUGUCGCGUCUGCUGUGAAAAUCCGGGGCUCAACCCCGGACUUGCAGUGGGUACGGGCAGACUAGAGUGUGGUAGGGGAGACUGGAAUUCCUGGUGUAGCGGUGAAAUGCGCAGAUAUCAGGAGGAACACCGAUGGCGAAGGCAGGUCUCUGGGCCGUAACUGACGCUGAGGAGCGAAAGCAUGGGGAGCGAACAGG